ACGUAGGGGGCAAGCGUUAUCCGGAUUUACUGGGUGUAAAGGGAGCGCAGGCGGUAUGAUAAGUCUGAUGUGAAAACCCAAGGCUCAACCAUGGGACUGCAUUGGAAACUGUCGUGCUGGAGUGUCGGAGAGGUAAGCGGAAUUCCUAGUGUAGCGGUGAAAUGCGUAGAUAUUAGGAGGAACACCAGUGGCGAAGGCGGCUUACUGGACGAUGACUGACGCUGAGGCUCGAAAGCGUGGGGAGCAAACAG
rnacentral:rRNA from 1 species